CCUACGGGUGGCAGCAGUGGGGAAUUUUGGACAAUGGGGGCAACCCUGAUCCAGCCAUUCCGCGUGAGUGAAGAAGGCCUUCGGGUUGUAAAGCUCUUUUGUCCGGAGCGAAACGGGCGGCCCUAAUACGGUCGUCUACUGACGGUACCGGAAGAAUAAGCACCGGCUAACUACGUGCCAGCAGCCGCGGUAAUACGUAGGGUGCGAGCGUUAGUCGGACUUACGCGGGGGGUAGCGUGAGCAGGCGGUGAAAUCCCCGGGAUCAACCUGGGAAUGGCAUUUGUGACUGCAAGGCUGGAGUGUGGCAGAGGGGACUAGAAUUCCUGGUGUAGCAGUGAAAUGCGUAGAUAUCAGGAGGAAUACCGAUGGCGAAGGCAGGUCCCUGGGUUAACACUGACGCUCAUGCACGAAAGCGUGGGGAGCAAACAGGAUUAGAUACCCGGGUAGUC
rnacentral:rRNA from 1 species